rnacentral:lncRNA from 1 species
GGUUUGGGCCUUAGGAAGCCAAACUCAACUGGCGAAGGAAGAAAGUGGUAGCCGGCGAAAUGAACCGGAGUGGUGGGCUCCACCCGAGCGGGAGGAGGGGCGCGGGAGGCUUGAAAAGGCGACGCCACACCCGGACUGAAGUACCGGCCGCCGGGGGUCUGCGUGUCCUGCGCUGCCGCCUUUUACGCCGGCGAUAAUGUCCAGCUGCCUGUCAGAUGGGUAAUCUAUUUUAAUAUUGAAGAGACU